UGGAGAUAACUUCUGUUAUGAAUUGGCGCUAUACAAAUAAAAUUGAAUUGAAUUGAAUUGAAUUACAACUACAAUAUAAUGUAUUUGUGGAACAUUUCUACAUUUGUUUGUUAAAAGAGGAAAAUCUGAGAUCCUGUCAGUGUAACUUUAUUUCUACCUCUGCCUCUACUGAUAGUUAACCAUUUGAUCCUCCUUGUUGGUAUUGGAGUCAAAGUCAUCAUUGUGCUGUUGCUUACACUGGCCGUUAUCUGGGCAUGGAGGCAUAAAUGUAGUUCUGCUGUGGACAAAGAGGACAACAGCCCUGAAUAUGAAAACAUCAGCCCUGCCUAUAUGGGUCAAAAAGACACGGUUACACAGAAGGAAAUGACUGUUUAAAGAAACUAGAGAAGCAUGAUGACAUUUCAUGACUUCACACAAGGAUAUCUCUGGUCUGUUACAGAGCUCAACCAAAAAACUGCUGGAGUUACACUUGAAGAGUUUGACUCCCUGAUUCCUGUCUGUGUAAAUGCUCCGUCCUUCUCAUGACUCCCUGUAACACUGGAGACACAAGGGUUACGAACUGUAACAUUAUCAAGAAAACUGAGGCCCAGUAGCUCACCUGGUAGAGGUGGUGUGGCCCUUUGCUGUGUGUCAUCUCCUCUGUCUAUCUCUCCUGUCUAUCUUCUGCUGUCCUACUAUUCUAUACUGAUGUUUCAUCAAUGAAAUACCCACAACCAUGCUGUUACUAAAUUAAGCUAUUUUUAUCUGUUUUGAAUAUAGCCCCUCUUGCUAUGAUUACAGCAGUGAUAAUAGUCGUAACAAUUCUAUUAUUAUUGUCUGUAGUUUCUGGUCUGAAAAUAUUGUUGCAGAACAUUUUUCACUGGAGUGACUGGUUUUCUACUGGUACAGCAGACUGAAUCCAGAAUCACUGUGGUCAAAUCAGGAUAUGCUGCCCCCUUGAGUUACAAAUUCUCAUCGUUUUUGUAAACUUGUAAAUGCUUCAGUCUAUCAACUUAUCAGUAGUAUUUCUUUUAUUGACCUUAACCAUAACCUUAAAAAACCUUCCGGAGGUUGGUUUUCCGAUUUCAUUUAAAACAGAUUUUAUUUUCAGUUGUAACAGAAACAACAUACAACAGCAUAGCGUUUAUUGGGUCAAUGCAUUUAAAAAGUUGUUUUAUACUGUAAAAACCAGCAUAUCAUGUCUAGACCACACUGUGAAAAAGUCAUGUAAAUCAGGUGGUGUUGCCAUUCAACCCUUACUCCUUGUUGCAUUCGCAGCAGUCGCUCUAUGGGCCCAAAUAAAUGCUGGCUGCUGUAACAACUGUAUAGAUUAUUGUUGUUGUAUAACACAUAUUGUGACGCCCUCUUGUUAAUCAUCACACUGAUUAUUUUUUUAUUGUUUUGCUAAGCAAUAAACUCUUUCUUGUUUCCAAGGCAUGU